AGAGUUUGAUCCUGGCUCAGAAUCAACGCUGGCGGCGCGCUUAACACAUGCAAGUCGCACGAGAAAGUGGAGCAAUCCAUGAGUACAGUGGCGUACGGGUGAGUAACACGUGGAUCAUCUACCUCUUGGUGGGGAAUAACCCUGGGAAACCGGGGCUAAUACCGCAUAAGCCUGCAAAGGGAAAGCAGCAAUGCGCCGAGAGAGGAGUCCGCGGCCGAUUAGCUUGUUGGUAGGGUAACGGCCUACCAAGGCAAUGAUCGGUAGCCGGCCUGAGAGGGCACACGGCCACACUGGCACUGAAACACGGGCCAGACUCCUACGGGAGGCAGCAGUGGGGAAUCUUGCACAAUGGGGGAAACCCUGAUGCAGCGACGCCGCGUGAGCGAUGAAGCCCUUCGGGGUGUAAAGCUCUUUCGGCAGGAACGAUAAUGACGGUACCUGCAGAAGAAGCUGCGGCUAACUACGUGCCAGCAGCCGCGGUAAUACGUAGGCAGCAAGCGUUGUUCGGAAUUACUGGGCGUAAAGAGUGUGUAGGCGGUUCUCUAAGUUCCGUGUGAAAUCUCCCGGCUUAACUGGGAGGGUGCGCGGAAAACUGGAGGGCUGGAGUAUGGGAGAGGAAAGCGGAAUUCCUGGUGUAGCGGUGAAAUGCGUAGAUAUCAGGAGGAACACCUGCGGUGUAGACAGCUUUUCUGGAUCAUCACUGACGCUGAGACACGAAAGCGUGGGUAGCAAACAGGAUUAGAUACCCCCGUAGUCC
rnacentral:rRNA from 1 species